GGAGAGUUGUCCGAGUGGCUUAAGGAGCAUGAUUGGAAAUCAUGUGUGCGGUGAACUCCGUACCCAGGGUUCAAAUCCCUGACUCUCCG
rfam:Megasphaera micronuciformis F0359 genomic scaffold Scfld16, whole genome shotgun sequence.